rnacentral:rRNA from 1 species
UACGUAGGGGGCGAGCGUUGUCCGGAGUGACUGGGCGUAAAGAGCACGUAGGCGGUUUAAUAUGUCGGAUGUGAAAAUCCCGAGCUUAACUCAGGACCUGCAUCCGAAACUGUUAAACUUGAGUACAGGAGAGGAAAGCGGAAUUCCUAGUGUAGCGGUGAAAUGCGUAGAUAUUAGGAGGAACACCAGUGGCGAAGGCGGCUUUCUGGACUGGAUCUGACGCUGAGGUGCGAGAGCUAGGGGAGCGAAC